rnacentral:lncRNA from 1 species
GGCUGCUCCCCGACUGCUCUGCAAGUCAGCACGACGCUGUCUCCUCGGCGAGCUGUCAACGCCUGAAACUUGCGCUCGAAGUGGGCGGCCACUGUGUAGCCGCAUGGUGCGUCCUGCUAGAGCCGUGACGUUGGCCAUUGGUCGCACCAGAGGUCUUCCCAGCACGUUCAGUCUGGCUGUGUGCGAGACGCGGCCGACCCCGUUGCGGGCCACACAACUGUAGAGGCCACCGUCCUCCACUCGGACUCCGGUAGUCCCCUGCAUACGUGCUGGUACAAUACAGAAACAAAAGCAGCCCCGAGAGUUGGAGCAGG